rnacentral:miRNA from 2 species
UGUCUUUUUCCGCUUACUGCCG